rnacentral:rRNA from 1 species
AUUGAACGCUGGCGGCAGGCCUAACACAUGCAAGUCGAGCGGAGCGGCGGACGGGUAAGUAAUGCCUAGGAAUCUGCCUGGUAGUGGGGGAUACCGUCAGGAAACGGGCGCUAAUACCGCCUACUAUCAGAGCAGACUAGGUCGUAUUAGCUGGUUGUGGGGGUAAAGGCCUACCAAGGCGACGAUCCGUAACUGGUCUGAGAGGAUGAUCAGUCCCACUGGAACUGCGACACGGUCCCGACUCCUCCGGUAGGCAGCAGGGGGGAAUAUUGGACAAUGGGCGAAAGCCUUAUCCAGCCAUGCCGCGUGUGGGAAGAAGGUCUUCGGAUUGGAAAGCACUUUAAGUUGGGAGGCGUUACCAACAGAAUAAGCACCGGCUAACUUCGUGCCAGCAGCCGCGGUAAUAC